AACUUUUGUUUACGUUUCCUUAUGGUCC
rnacentral:sRNA from 1 species